rnacentral:rRNA from 1 species
UACAGAGGGUGCGAGCGUUAAUCGGAAUUAUUGGGCGUAAAGAGCGUGUAGGCGGUCCGGUAAGUCAGCUGUGAAAGUCAAGGGCUCAACCCUUGAAAGCCGGUUGAUACUGUCGGGCUAGAGUCCGGAAGAGGCGAGUGGAAUUCCCGGUGUAGCGGUGAAAUGCGCAGAUAUCGGGAGGAACACCAAUGGCGAAGGCAGCUCGCUGGGACGGUACUGACGCUGAGACGCGAAAGCGUGGGGAGCAAACAGG